CUGCAGCCCGAGUGGUGAUCGACUUUAUUGAGCCUAAAGCGUCCGUAGCCGGACUAGUAAACCCUUGGGUAAAUUGGGCAGCUUAACUGUCCGAAUUCCGAGGGGACUGCUAGUCUUGGGACCGGGAGAGGUCAGAGGUACUCAAGGGGUAGGGGCUAAAUCCUGUGAUCCUUUGGGGACCACCAGUGGCGAAGGCGUCUGACUAGAACGGAUCCGACGGUAAGGGACGAAACCCUGGGGCGCGAACCGGAUUAGAUACCCGAGUAGUCC
rnacentral:rRNA from 1 species